rnacentral:rRNA from 1 species
GAAAGAUGGUUCUGCUAUCACUCUUGGAUGGACCUGCGGUGCAUUAGCUAGUUGGUAAGGUAACGGCUUACCAAGGCAAUGAUGCAUAGCCGAGUUGAGAGACUGAUCGGCCACAUUGGGACUGAGACACGGCCCAAACUCCUACGGGAGGCAGCAGUAGGGAAUCUUCCACAAUGGACGAAAGUCUGAUGGAGCAACGCCGCGUGAGUGAAGAAGGGUUUCGGCUCGUAAAGCUCUGUUGGUAGUGAAGAAAGAUAGAGGUAGUAACUGGCCUUUAUUUGACGGUAAUUACUUAGAAAGUCACGGCUAACUACGUGCCAGCAGCCGCGGUAAUACGUAGGUGGCAAGCGUUGUCCGGAUUUAUUGGGCGUAAAGCGAGUGCAGGCGGUUCAAUAAGUCUGAUGUGAAAGCCUUCGGCUCAACCGGAGAAUUGCAUCAGAAACUGUUGAACUUGAGUGCAGAAGAGGAGAGUGGGACUCCAUGUGUAGCGGUGGAAUGCGUAGAUAUAUGGAAGAACACCAGUGGCGAAGGCGGCUCUCUGGUCUGCAACUGACGCUGAGGCUCGAAAGCAUGGGUAGCGAACAGGAUUAGAUACCCUGGUAGUCCAUGCCGUAAACGAUGAGUGCUAAGUGUUGGGAGGUUUCCGCCUCUCA